rnacentral:rRNA from 1 species
CCUACGGGUGGCAGCAGUGAGGAAUAUUGGUCAAUGGACGAGAGUCUGAACCAGCCAAGUAGCGUGAAGGAUGACUGCCCUAUGGGUUGUAAACUUCUUUUAUAAAGGAAUAAAACGCGGCACGUGUGCCUUUUUGCAUGUACUUUAUGAAUAAGGAUCGGCUAACUCCGUGCCAGCCGCCGCGGUAAUACGGAGGAUCCGAGCGUUAUCCGGAUUUAUUGGGGUUAAAGGGAGCGUAGAUGGGUUGUUAAGUCAGUUGUGAAAGUUUGCGGCUCAACCGUAAAAUUGCAAUUGAUACUGGCAGUCUGGAGUACAGGUGAGGUAGGCGGAAUUCGUGGUGUAGCGGUGAAAUGCUUAGAUAUCACGAAGAACCCCGAUUGCGAAGGCAGCUUACUAAACUGUGACUGACAUUGAUGCUCGAAAGUGUGGGUAUCAAACAGGAUUAGAUACCCCUGUAGUC